rnacentral:lncRNA from 1 species
GACACCAACAAGCGCAAGAGAGACGAAGUAUUCAGGAGUCUCCGGUGCCGAACGGCCACUCGCUUCCGGGCAGAGACUUCCUCCGGAAGCAGAUGCGGGGAGACUUGUUCACACAGCAGCAGCUGGAGGUGCUGGACCGCGUGUUUGAGAGGCAGCACUACUCAGACAUCUUCACCACCACAGAGCCCAUCAAGCCCGAGCAGGAGUGAGUUUUCCGGGAGUCCCUACAGCCACCCUCAGUAUUCCUCGUACAACGACUCCUGGAGGUUCCCCAACCCGGGGCUGCUUGCUCCCCCUACUAUUAUAGCGCUGCCGCCCGAGGAGCCGCCCCACCUGCAGCCGCCACUGCCUAUGACCGUCACUGAC